UUGAACGCUGGCGGCAGGCCUAACACAUGCAAGUCGAACGGUAACAGGAAGAAGCUUGCUUCUUUGCUGACGAGUGGCGGACGGGUGAGUAAUGUCUGGGAAACUGCCUGAUGGAGGGGGAUAACUACUGGAAACGGUAGCUAAUACCGCAUAACGUCGCAAGACCAAAGAGGGGGACCUUCGGGCCUCUUGCCAUCGGAUGUGCCCAGAUGGGAUUAGCUAGUAGGUGGGGUAACGGCUCACCUAGGCGACGAUCCCUAGCUGGUCUGAGAGGAUGACCAGCCACACUGGAACUGAGACACGGUCCAGACUCCUACGGGAGGCAGCAGUGGGGAAUAUUGCACAAUGGGCGCAAGCCUGAUGCAGCCAUGCCGCGUGUAUGAAGAAGGCCUUCGGGUUGUAAAGUACUUUCAGCGGGGAGGAAGGGAGUAAAGUUAAUACCUUUGCUCAUUGACGUUACCCGCAGAAGAAGCACCGGCUAACUCCGUGCCAGCAGCCGCGGUAAUACGGAGGGUGCAAGCGUUAAUCGGAAUUACUGGGCGUAAAGCGCACGCAGGCGGUUUGUUAAGUCAGAUGUGAAAUCCCCGGGCUCAACCUGGGAACUGCAUCUGAUACUGGCAAGCUUGAGUCUCGUAGAGGGGGGUAGAAUUCCAGGUGUAGCGGUGAAAUGCGUAGAGAUCUGGAGGAAUACCGGUGGCGAAGGCGGCCCCCUGGACGAAGACUGACGCUCAGGUGCGAAAGCGUGGGGAGCAAACAGGAUUAGAUACCCUGGUAGGCCACGCCGUAAACGAUGUCGACUUGGAGGUUGUGCCCUUGAGGCGUGGCUUCCGGAGCUAACGCGUUAAGUCGACCGCCUGGGGAGUACGGCCGCAGGGUUAAAACUCAAAUGAAUUGACGGGGGCCCGCACAAGCGGUGGAGCAUGUGGUUUAAUUCGAUGCAACGCGAAGAACCUUACCUGGUCUUGACAUCCACGGAAGUUUUCAGAGAUGAGAAUGUGCCUUCGGGAACCGUGAGACAGGUGCUGCAUGGCUGUCGUCAGCUCGUGUUGUGAAAUGUUGGGUUAAGUCCCGCAACGAGCGCAACCCUUAUCCUUUGUUGCCAGCGGUCCGGCCGGGAACUCAAAGGAGACUGCCAGUGAUAAACUGGAGGAAGGUGAGGAUGACGUCAAGUCAUCAUGGCCCUUACGACCAGGGCUACACACGUGCUACAAUGGCGCAUACAAAGAGAAGCGACCUCGCGAGAGCAAGCGGACCUCAUAAAGUGCGUCGUAGUCCGGAUUGGAGUCUGCAACUCGACUCCAUGAAGUCGGAAUCGCUAGUAAUCGUGGAUCAGAAUGCCACGGUGAAUACGUUCCCGGGCCUUGUACACACCGCCCGUCACACCAUGGGAGUGGGUUGCAAAAGAAGUAGGUAGCUUAACCUUCGGGAGGGCGCUUACCACUUUGUGAUUCAUGACUGGGGUG
rnacentral:rRNA from 1 species